rnacentral:lncRNA from 1 species
CGAGGUGCUGGACGGUGCUUGGAUCACCGAGACUCAAUGUAGAAUGACUUGUUAUACUAGAUGUCUCUUUGGGAUGCCGAGGUUUAAUUAUGUAAAAUGACAAGUUAUAUUUUGGAAUGUCCGGAUUUAAUGUCCGAUGUGUUUACUUUGACUCCUGUGUGAUCGUUUCUAAAUACUGAAAGUGGCCAGUCAUCGGCUUCUGCCCUCUUGUAUAUAAUAGAAAGGGUGUGUCUGUAGCACUACACUUAGCUGACGUCUCGGCGCCCGGAGACGGUAUGUGUUUAGCGGAAACUAGGCAAUCCGACUAUUCUGACUUUAUAACUUUCACUUAAUCAUAGAACCUUGACGGUGGGGGCAAGUGACUAGCCCCCGGAGUGGGGCNNNNNNNNNNNNNNNNNNNNNNNNNNNNNNNNNNNNNNNNNNNNNNNNNNNNNNNNNNNNNNNNNNNNNNNNNNNNNNNNNNNNNNNNNNNNNNNNNNNNNNNNNNNNNNNNNNNNNNNNNNNNNNNNNNNNNNNNNNNNNNNNNNNNNNNNNNNNNNNNNNNNNNNNNNNNNNNNNNNNNNNNNNNNNNNNNNNNNNNNNNNNNNNNNNNNNNNNNNNNNNNNNNNNNNNNGAGCUGGGCCGUGGCGCGGGGGUUCGCACACGGCGCACCCCAACUGGGUCGGCCCAUUGCGACUGAAAUUGAGGGUAUUUUUGACAAACGUGAACAAGACUUUACAUUUAUGUACAUCUUUUAAACUAAAACGAAAUUUUCCCGAAUAUUUUUAAAAUUUGUAAAAAAAAAACUUGAAAAAGGGUACAUAUUUUGAAAUUUGGAACAAUUCUUAAAAUGCGAACAUUUUCUAAAUUUCCAUAACAUUUUUUAAAAUGCAAAAAAGAAUUAAUUGGUGAACCAAAAUUGAGUUUGGGAACAAUUUUUGAAAACGUGAUAUUUUUUAAUUGGUGAACAAAAAUUGAAAACAGAAACAAUUCUAGAAAAAUCAAACAAAUUUUUGAAACUGAGAACAAUUUGAAUAACCUAAACAAUUUUGUAAACGCGUUUUUUUGUAUAUAUGAACAAAAUAUUGAAAAUGAAGGCAUUUUUCUUUAGAUUCAAACAUUUUGUAAAACACGAACAUCUUUUUUGUAAAACGCGAACAAUUUUUGAAAUUGUGAACAAAUUUUGAAAACAAGAUCGUUUCUUGAAACUCCAAAAAUUAUUUGAAAUUUUCGAACAAAAGAACAUGAAAAAGAAAAAGGAAAUAGAAAAUAAAAACAAAAAAGAAACAGAAAAACCUAUAAAAACCGCUGGGAACCCUCUAGAAGAUUCCCCGCUCGGCCAACAGUGGCAGCCGUCACCGAGCCACUCAGACGCCCAGUCUGCACUCGGCCAGACAUACAAUGUCAGGGUGCACGGAGGAAAUUUUUUGGUCUUUCUUGAAACACAAAUCAAAAGAUAAACAACUUCAGAGAAACACAAAACAAAUAUAUAUUUUGAUUUUGAUUUUUUCUGUAAAGAAGGCAAAUAAGAAUGAUAACAUGAAUGAUAUGUUGGUAAGAAAACAUACUUCCCCAAGCUUAGUUUUUUGGCCUAAGUUGGGCUUACUGCUCUGAUAAUGUCAGAGAGAAACGGAGAAGAGGGAGAGAGAGAGAGAGAGAGAGAGAGAGAGAGAGUGCUGAAAUGAUUUCAAGACCAGUUUUACACUAGACAGAUUGGAAUUCACCUCCCAAAAAAGGCACACCAGCUUAACUGCACUAUCAUCAUCAUCAUCAUCAUCAUCAUCAUCAUCAUCAUGUUAUUAUUCACAACAACUUGGCUAGCAUAAAACACCACACAAGCUCUUGGGGAGUAGGAUUACAAACAAAAAAUAUUGCAAGGCCACACCAUACCUAUACAACAAAGUGUUUCGAUUCCACGAUAGAAAAUGAAUAAAAACACCACCAAAUCUCAUCAACGACACUAACUUCACCCGACUCGAGUCGCUGAUUGAUUGAUUGAUUUCCGCGACCACGAGAUGUAGUAGGCACGAUCGAUCAGGGUCAGGCUCAGGCUCGACACUUCUGGGCAGGCAACCAAGAUGUAAUGUCUUCUUGUUUUCUCUACACACAAGUCAGCAGAGGGUCCCUGGAUGCCAUGAUUCAACUAACUACACAAGGGAUGCUCCAAGGUCUUUUUAAUGCUUCAUAUCAGCAUCACAUGUUGCGUGCUGAACCGCUCCGAGGCAGAGUCCUGAGAUACACACAAAAAAUUCUUUAACUAACACAUACCAUGCCUAGUGGAGUUUGAAACAAGCAUGAUGAUUAUUUAUCUCAAAAUCUCAACAGAGACAAUGGUAUCUGCGGUGCGGUAGGGGUGUACUGUACCUUCCAGGUGGCAUCUGUGAGGCAGAGGUGCUUGAACUGCCGAACCUUCUUGCUUUCGUAUCCUGCUCUUUCUCUAAUCGCAUAGCCACCACCUCCUUUUCCAUGGCAGCAACAUCCCGUCUCAUCUUCUUAGCCUCUGACUCCAUCGCCUUUGUUAAAGUGUCGACUUUCUUAGCCAACAUCUGCACAUCAAACCACUCAUUAACAGGAAUGCGGGAACAAAAAAGAGAGGGCAGCCAAACAGUGUGAUCCUAGCACCCGGCUAGAGUUACCUCAACUGCAUCGUCCUUGUCUUUCAAGCUUUGGUCCUUUUCAUAACAAGCCUUCCUCAGAGCAACGACCUCCUUUUGCAGCAUAUCAUACAGCAUACCUGACACUGUGUCCUCCGACUCAACAGAUGUAAAUUCACUAGGCUUCUCAUCUGAGUUGUUUGACUCCUUAUCUUCGCUGGAGUCAGUAGAUACAUUCAUGCCAACCCCAUUUACAUGGCCCUUAUAGCGGUCAAGUGAUCUACACCCUCCAUCAAAAGACUUGGAUGCCCCCUUCGCAUGGUUCACCAGAGUAGUCGUGGUGGUAGAUACCGAUGUUCUCAUCUGGAAUGAUGGCCGUUUUGAUAGAAAGCCAUUGGUCUUGGAUGCACUCUCAGCGCCACCAAUAGACUGGCGGCGCGCAGCACUUGCAUUGGUUCGCGAUGUCGACAUUCUCAAUCCUUCCUCGAGUACUUUAAGCCGUAGCUGGAACUUGUCCUGCGAUGUUCGAUGCAGAUCACAAUGAAGAGAGAGCAGAAACAGCUAACUGAUAGGAAGACAGAAGUAAAGGAUUUCAUGAGAAACAUGGAAGGAAAAAUGCAUACCUUCAGUUGAGCUUCUGAUCUUGCAGCCCUUUCUGCUAUAGCAAGUUUAUCACGGAGUUGCUGCAUUUCUCCCUGUAAAAGGAUAAUCCUCCACAAGUUAACAAAAGUGCCAUGGUUUAGUCUAGUCAAAGAAGAAAAUGUGAAAAGGCUACAGUCCCAUUGAGGGGCUUCUAGAGAUCCAUCCAGAAAAGGUCGAGUAAGACUAGAAGAUGUGAGACAUUCAUUACUUACUUGCAGAAGCCUCCGUUCUUCAAGCCAUUGCUUAACAGGCAUUACUUUAUCAUUGCCAUCUUUCCACUCAUUUGCCACCACUACCGCGACCCUAUUUGCUGAAACCUUUGCACGGGCAAGCUCACGAUCCAGAGUUUUCAUUUCCUCCUGAGAACAACAUGCAUGUAAGAAAUAUUCACUUGUAUGACAAUGAAAGAUUUCGGGUACACUAAAUAUCAUGAACUGCACGAAUAGGGGUUCAAGCCAUCAUGCAUUACAUUCAUCUCCUGAACUUUCCGCUGAUAGUCCCUAACAGCAUUUGCGGCUGCGCCACCAGCAAGAACAGCUUCUUCUAGCUCUCUGACGGUCUGAGUAAGUUUUUCGACCUCAGCAACCUUCUGGCGGUGCAUUCUGUCCAAGAUUUUGUUCUCUUCCUAUAGAAUACCAAAGACAAAGUCUCAUAUACCAUUGCUGGUCGUAUGCCACAGCUAGCAAAUUGUUUGUAAAUGCAUGCUUUCACCGUCUUAUACCUGACAUAUCUCGAUCUGUUUCAUCAAUUCUUGGUUUUUGUUUUGUAAAUCAUCCACCAAGGAAGCUUUCGCUAAUGCUAUCUGAACUGUCCUUUCUGCUUCCAGCAGAGCAGCUUCCUUGGAUUUGGUAAGACGGUCCAAUGCCCUGUUGUCAUCUUGUAAUUUUGCAAUCUGCUCAACAAAAUCGAUGCAUUAGUGUUUCAGCAGGAGGGCAUUCAAUCGACAGAGAACAGGACUGAUGGUAGAAUCGACAACUGCACAUAAACAUCAGUGAUAGAAUGCGCCGCUUUGCAAAUUUGUGAAGUAGCAACACGUAAAUCCACAUCUGGAAACCAGAAGGUUGGCGGUAUUUACCAACUACCAAGACAACGGUAGAAAUUAAGUAAGAUUACGGGAGGUGCUGCAUAAAAGCUACCGAUAUCUUGUGAGAACAAGAAGUGAAUACAGUUUACUAAAAGCAAAGGUUUCAUACAUGGAACACACUGAUGAGACUUUAAGAGAAAACAAGACAAGACAACCAUAUGGCAAGAUGAAAAGUACCUCUUGACGGGCUAGUUUCAGCUCGGCCUCCAGCGGAGCAAGGAUGGCCUCGAUGGGAGGCAUGUCAUCAUCCUUCUGCGCCGCAUGAACCCUCCGCAGCGUAGCCUCCGCUGCAAACUGGGCAGCAAGCGCUGCUUUCUUCUCAUCGUUGAUCUUCUUCGCUUCAAGGUUCUGCAAAAUGCCGCGUAUCAUCAACAGCUGCUCUCUUGUCAAGAUAAAAACUGUGAGCUUGGAAGGAAAAAAAAA